CCCUUAGAUGUCCGGGGCCGCACGCGCGAUACACUGAAGGAAUCAGCGUGGCUUUCUCCCUGACCCGAAAGGGUUGGGAAACCCGUUGAAUCUCCUUCGUGAUAGGGAUUGGGGCUUGAAAUUGUUCCCCAUGAACGAGGAAUUCCCAGUAAGCGCGAGUCAUAAGCUCGCGUUGAUUACGUCCCUGCCCUUUGUACACACCGCCCGUCGCUACUACCGAUUGAACGGUUUAGUGAGGGCCUCGGAUUGGUCUCGGCCCGCUCUUUACCGGGCGGCGCCGUUGGUCGAGAAGACGCUCGAACUUGAUCGUUUAGAGGAAGUAAAAGUCGUAACA
rnacentral:rRNA from 1 species